rnacentral:rRNA from 1 species
UAAUUGAAGAGUUUGAUCCUGGCUCACAGUGAACGCUGGCGGCGUGGCUAAGGCAUGCAAGUCGCACGGGUGUAGCAAUACACCAGUGGCGCAAGGGUGAGUAAUGGAUAGCUAACGUACCCUGAACUGGGGCAUAGCCAGCCGAAAGGUUGGGUAAUUCCCCAUAAAGUUACGAGAUCGCAUGGUUUUGUAACCAAAGGUGAGGACCGAAAGGCUUACCGGUUUUGGAGCGGGCUAUUUGAUAUCAGCUAGUUGGUGAGGUAAUGGCUCACCAAGGCGAUGACGUCUAGCUGGUCUGAGAGGACGACCAGCCACAUUGGCACUGAGACACUGGCCAGACUCCUACGGGGGGCUGCAGCAACGAAUCUUCCCCAAUGGCCGAAAGGCUGAGGGAGCGACGCCGCGUGCGGGAUGAAGUCCUUCGGGAUGUAAACCGCUGUUAGGGUUAUGAAAGCGAAGGCGCCUAAUACGCGCCAAGUUGAUCUAGCCCAUAGAAAGGGACGGCUAACUCUGUGCCAGCAGCCGCGGUAAUACAGAGGUCCCAAGCGUUACUGAGAAUCACUGGGUUUAAAGGGUGCGUAGGUGGUCCGUUAAGUCGGUUGUGAAAUCCCCGGGCUCAACCCGGGAACUGCUUUCGAUACUGGCGGACUUGAGGUUGGUAAGGGUCACUGGAACAGACGGUGGAGCGGUGAAAUGCGUAGAUAUCGUCUGGAACGCCGGUGGUGAAGACGGGUGACUAGGCCAAUUCUGACACUGAGGCACGAAAGCGUGGGGAUCAAACGGGAUUAGAUACCCCGGUAGUCCACGCCCUAAACGAUGCAGACUAGAUUGCAGCAGGUCUUACCCUGUUGCGGUCGGAGCGAAAUUGUUAAGUCUGCCACCUGGGAAGUACGGUCGCAAGGCUAAAACUCAAAGGAAUUGACGGGGGCUCACACAAGCGGUGGAGCAUGUGGCUCAAUUCGAAGCAACGCGAAGAACCUUAUCCUGGGCUUGACAUGGUGGAAGUAGGAAAUCGAAAGACGUACGACCGGUAUCCAAUCCGGAACCAUCACAGGUGCUGCAUGGCUGUCGUCAGCUCGUGCUGUGAAGUGUCGGGUUAAGUCCCAUAACGAGCGAAACCCUUAUCGUUAGUUGCUACCAGGUAAUGCUGGGCACUCUAACGAGACUGCCGGUGUUAAACCGGAGGAAGGCGGGGAUGACGUCAAGUCCUCAUGGCCUUUAUGCCCAGGGCUGCACACGUGCUACAAUGCCGAUGACAAACCGACGCGAGACCGUAAGGUGGAGCUAAUCGGAGAAAAAUCGGCCCAGUUCAGAUUGAGGGCUGCAACUCGCCCUCAUGAAGUUGGAAUCGCUAGUAAUCGUGGAUCAGCUAUGCCACGGUGAAUGUGUUCCUGAGCCUUGUACACACCGCCCGUCAAGUCAUGGGAGCUGGUAAUGCCUGAAACGCCCUCAAGGCGCUACGGCAGGACCGGUGACUGGGACUAAGUCGUAACAAGGUAGCCGUAGGGGAACCUGCGGCUGGAUCACCUCCUUUCU